GACGAACGCUGGCGGCGUGCUUAACACAUGCAAGUCGAACGGUAAGGCCCUUCGGGGUACACGAGUGGCGAGCGGGUGAGUAACACGUGGGUGAUCUGCCCUGCACUUCGGGAUAAGCCUGGGAAACUGGGUCUAAUACCGGAUAGGACCACUGCCUGCAUGGGUGGUGGUGGAAAGCUUUUGCGGUGUGGGAUGGGCCCGCGGCCUAUCAGCUUGUUGGUGGGGUGAUGGCCUACCAAGGCGACGACGGGUAGCCGGCCUGAGAGGGUGACCGGCCACACUGGGACUGAGAUACGGCCCAGACUCCUACGGGAGGCAGCAGUGGGGAAUAUUGCACAAUGGGCGCAAGCCUGAUGCAGCGACGCCGCGUGAGGGAUGACGGCCUUCGGGUUGUAAACCUCUUUCGGCACCGACGAAGCGCAAGUGACGGUAGGUGCAGAAGAAGGACCGGCCAACUACGUGCCAGCAGCCGCCGUAA
rnacentral:rRNA from 1 species